rnacentral:piRNA from 1 species
GUCCCUGUAUAAAUCACCAAGUUUGGUUAC